UACAGAGGUGGCAAGCGUUGUUCGGAAUUACUGGGCGUAAAGGGCGCGUAGGCGGUUCGUUAAGUCCUGUGUGAAAUCCCCCGGCUCAACCGGGGAACUGCGUCUGAGACUGGCGGGCUCGAGGACAGGAGAGGAACGCGGAAUUCCAGGUGUAGCGGUGAAAUGCGUAGAUAUCUGGAGGAACACCGGUGGCGAAGGCGGCGUUCUGGACUGUUUCUGACACUGAGGAACGAAAGCCAGGGGAGCAAACGGG
rnacentral:rRNA from 1 species